rnacentral:rRNA from 1 species
ACAUCCUUCACCGCCCUCAUCCUUGACCUCUCCCUGUCCUCCGUCCCGGCCUCAUCGGACACCGUAGGCUCCCGCCGCCUCGACCUCUCCGCAUCCCCGCUCGCCGAACUGGAGGAGGCGGCCUUUCCGUCCCUGCGCGAUGGCGGGCACGUCAUGGCCGGUUUCGUCAUCUACUUCCGCAACUACUCCACCUUCCUCGCUAGGCCUGGGUUGUACGUGGAAUACAUCUUCGUGCGUGUCCUGCGCCUUCCCGGGCUUGGCCGCAUGAUGUUGUUCGUCAUCAUCGGCAGAACCGCCGAGAUCGGGAUGGGCCACGUGGAGUGCGCGCUUGACUGGAACCAUAACACCAUCGACUUCGACGAGGGGAUGGGCGCUGAGGUGUUCAAGCAGUGGCACAUCUGUCGGCUCACCGGCGCCGCGCUCGACAAGUACAAAGGCACCAGGAACCAGGAGGAUCCCAGUAGGCCAGUAGGAGAGGAGAGAUCUAGACUCCGGCAACUGGUGAUGUAG